rnacentral:rRNA from 1 species
AUGACCCGGCAAUCUCUUCAUCCACAUUUUGGCAUCCAUUACGUCAACGACCCGGAAAAAAGCUCCACGUUCAAGGAAGACAAAAUCAUCAACAAAAUCAAGACCUUCCGCCCGACUCUUCGAGUCACCCGAAAGCUCGGGGGCUGCUAUCGUGGAUACGGGACACGGGUAUCCUCAUGGAGCAAAUCACCACAUGCCAACGAUAAAUCUGUGCAAACCCACAUACUCUACUUCGGAGCACAAAAGUACUUUUCCAUCGCAAACUUUCUCGGGCCCUUCCUCUGCUUCGGAGCACCCAAUCAGCCAAAGAAGAUGCCUCCUCCACCCCCGGGGACAGGAACCACACACGGCACGGUGCAGGCUGGGCUCGUCGAGCACACCAGCAACGCAAGCAGUAGCUGCCAGGAAAUGGACGCGACAGCAGAAGCUAGCAGCGCAGAAGGAGCACGCCACGGCGCCGAGCAACGAACAGAUGACCAGCCGGAGAAGGUGUCGUUGCUCGGCAUGCUCAGGCACGCCGACCGCCUCGACAUGCUGCUCAUGGUGAUCGGCUCGCUGGGGGCGGUGGGGAACGGCGCAUCGGGGUCCCUCCUAUUGGUCCUCUAUGGAGACGCCAUCAACUCCUUCGGCGAGAGCACCACCAGCACCGUCCUCCCCGCCGUCACCAAGGUGUGCCACGCCGCCACAGCUUACGGUUAUUCUCAACUUCAUAUAUUUGGGCAUUGGGACAGCAGUUGCUUCCUUUCUUCGUCGCCGCCCCAUGUUCUGGGCCAACCAGACUCUCCGUGCAGGCUGGCGCCCCUCCAUCCCAACACCGCAUGCACUGCUCCCAGCGCAUUGUCAACGCUGCCAAAAUUUCUGCAUGGUCAUUCAUGGGACGGGCUGGGCAAGGUCGGGGUCAUGCGGCCCAAGCGAAGGCUGUCAUCUCUAUGUCAGCGACCAGUUCCAGAUCCCGGAGGCUUGACGAGAAGACCAAAACCCGGGUUCGAGGGCAACACAAAGGCAUGGCAACUCGCCGCUGCCGACGGCGCUAGCUAG